UGUGGGGUAGAGCAGUUGGUAGCUCGCCUGGCUCAUAACCAGGAGGUCCCGGGUUCGAGUCCCGGCCCCGCUA
rnacentral:tRNA from 1 species